GUGGGGAAUUUUGGACAAUGGGCGCAAGCCUGAUCCAGCAAUGCCGCGUGCAGGAAGAAGGCCUUCGGGUUGUAAACUGCUUUUGUACGGAACGAAACGGUCCUGGUUAAUACCUGGGGCUAAUGACGGUACCGUAAGAAUAAGCACCGGCUAACUACGUGCCAGCAGCCGCGGUAAUACGUAGGGUGCAAGCGUUAAUCGGAAUUACUGGGCGUAAAGCGUGCGCAGGCGGUUUUGUAAGACAGGCGUGAAAUCCCCGGGCUCAACCUGGGAAUUGCGCUUGGGACUGCAAGGCUGGAGUGCGGCAGAGGGGGAUGGAAUUCCGCGUGUAGCAGUGAAAUGCGUAGAUAUGCGGAGGAACACCGAUGGCGAAGGCAAUCCCCUGGGCCUGCACUGACGCUCAUGCACGAAAGCGUGGGGAGCAAACAGGAUUAGAAACCCUUGUAGUCC
rnacentral:rRNA from 1 species